GGGGCUGUGGCGCAAUUGGUAGCGCGUGAGACUCCAGUUCUCAAGGUUGCCCGAUCGAGACGGACCAGCCUCA
rnacentral:tRNA from 1 species